AAACGUUCGGCGAGCGCGGAAAAUCGAGAUCACGCGGCGCGCGACGAGCAUGCUCGGGGUAUCCGAACAAAUUCGCGUGCCCGGCGAAAUUCCGGUUGUUGUGUGUCGCGCCGUGUCCUGCGAUAUUUAUUGCCGACACGAUCGCGUCGAAUAAUAUCGUAAUAAAUUCGUGGCGCGGCCGUGUUCACGGUCGUUCGGCCCCGCGGCGCUCGUCGCCGCGUUUGAUGUCGCGCAUAAAUACCGCGCGGAAACGGCGAGGACGCGUGUGCGCUUGGGAAAACAUCUCGCAGGAGCUGGUACACAUCUUGCCAGUUUCUGUUCGCAGUCGCGAGCAACCGCGCUAAAACGGGGAAAGAAUUCUGUUCGGCGAGCACGUUGCAAAAAAGAUUCGUCCAGAAACCAGUCCGGUGAACUUUGAAGCGGCCAGCAGCGUUUGCAGUGCAACAUGGACAAUCGGGAUUGCGAGGACACGUUGCGACACGGAAGGAGUCCCCGUAAUUCCAAUUAAAAUGUACAACCGUACGGUAGAUUUUGGGUCAACGCAAGAGAGUGCGGAUUAUCAGAUCGCGGAUUUCGUGCAUUUAUGAGAAAACUGGUAAAGCGAAAUACAUGAUAAGGAAAAUCGGAAGAAGAAUGAAAGGACACGGGUCGUGCGAUUAUUUUCCGGUGACGGGAGCGAGAAGGUUCGAACGAAAGGUGCAGAGGCUGCAGAGUAUGGACUUCGAAACGGCGAUCGGUCGGAAUUCUUUUUUUUCCUUUUUACGAGGGCGUUGCAGUCAGAGAUGAUUUUCUCGAGGCGUCUGGAUCGAAUGGCAUUCGAUUUCGAGAGGAAAUACGGGAGCACCGGUCGUUGGCGAGCAUGGUGGAGGCGCCCAACCGGCAGCGGUAUUGAUCCGCGGGGGUCACCUUUGCCCCACCUCGACACGAGACCAACCCCCGAAUCCACCGGCGUGUCCCCCCUAGCCUCCCGAGCCCCUCUGGGCUCCAGUAACAACGACACCCACAGACGAGGGGAAUCGGCGAGGGUAGAGGGAGAAACGACCAGAGAAAAGAGAGACACCGGCGGCGUGUACCCCUUCCACGAGGCUCGUAAACUGACAAAAAUGCGCCAGGAAAAAUCCAGCGGCCUUGCAGGCUUUCCACCGGUCUCAUAUUCCACUGAAUUGGGGCACGUUUCACCUGUUUUCGCGGGAUUAACAGGUUUUCCGGGCCCCGCGCGCUGCUCCGCCGAAUUCCGCUUCGCCGACGAUUGCGUCCGAUUUCGGUUUGCGGGGACGUACCACGAGCCUGCACCGAUGAAUUUUAUGACGGCGACUGUUUAAUUUUCCAACAACGAUCGGCUAAUCGAGCUGCGAUACGUUUCACAUUUGCCGGGGAAUUGAUCCAGUCCCGUUAGAGAUUCAAUUCGAUAGAGGCCGCUAAAGGAUUAGCAGCGAUUCGAUGUCCACGUUUUCGAUCGUCAAUUAAUCAGUCGCGCUAUAGAAUUCCUCUAAUUUUCUUUUUCUCAUUAUAACGUUUCAUCACAAUGAAUUUUCAAAGGGAAUUAUGAGUAAUGACAUGGAGUGUAGCAUAGAUUAGAUUUAACUCGUUGAAGACUUAACGCUAGGAAAUAAAGAUUAUCGGAAGUGUAGCAGCAAUUCGGUGUGCAACCGAUCAAGGAUCGGACCAAUCGGUCAUCGGGUUUAUUCGAGAAUCUAUCUCGCGGCAGAAAUUGCAACUUUCGCCGGCUAAAUCGUUCGAAGCUCUCGGGUUUUCGAGAUGGACGCGAGCUCUCGUCGAGGCAGGGCUCCGAUUAUAACAUUAGCAGCGGUCACGCGACCGUCGGAGAGGAGGCCGGAGGGUGCGGGGCCGAUUUCCAAAGCGAGGUUUCCGUCGGGAUAAGGUGGUUGGUUAUCCGCGUGGAAACGUAACGAGGCAGAUCGAUCAAACAUCGUGGAGGACGAGCGUAAAUCGCGGAUACGGCUGGUCGCGCACGGCACGGCACGGCCAGUUGCCAACCGGUACUGAACCGUCAGUCAGCAGUUGUCAAUUGCGCUCAAUGAUACUGAAACGCCGAACCGAGCCGAGCUGCACCGCGCCGAUCCAUUACGCGCCGUUCUUCUCGAGUGACGCUCCAGCCCGUGUUGCAACACUCGCAACACUCGCGGCACUCGAAAACACUCGCAACACCGUCUCCCCGCGAACGGGGACUUAUGGCUGGCCGAAGCUCUCCCUCUUCUCUCCGAUAAUCCGCUAUUUGUUGCUAUUAAAAGCGAACUCGAGAACUUUUACGCUUCCGACAUCUCUAUGGAGCUUUGUAUGGAAAUAGAAUCCUCGUACGAGUUCCGCCGAUUAAAUAAUGCUAAUGAGAUUAGAGGCUUUCCAUAGGAUC